CCCUUCCUCAAUCAGGGGAGGAGGGCCCUAAAAACAGCCUCAAACCCCAAGUGUGUUCUAAGCAAUUAUGAAGUCUGCACCUACGCGGCAGGAGCCACCCUGUUCCACCUCUGCAUCCUCCGCCAUGUUUUUUUCUUUGUCUUAGAGCAGAAUAAAAAACGCUUGUCUCAGCUACUUCCUCACACCGUCAACCAGCACCUACCGGCUAACCUCCACCUGUCAAUCAAAAUCAUAUAUGUGUGCAUCCCACACUUGUGUCCAUCAUCGUCUUGAUUCUUUCACACAAUACUGGCAGCAAAGAGGGAACCUAAAUUACAGUGCUUCUACGGAUUCCUUCCUCUGAUCCCUGAGUGGCAAUGUGGGCUGCUCCUCAGGUCAUGGAGAGGAUGGGCUGCGUGGGCUGCGCUGCUGCUGGUGCAUGGAUUUAAACUGGACUGCUGAGAGGGGAGGGAGAGAAACAUGGCGGCUGCUCUUUGUAGUCCAACCUAAAAUGGCUGACAUCACAGGCUGUUCACCAGGCAAGCAGAACGGAGAUGCUGCAUUUAUCCAAAGGCCUACAGGCUUGGUCCGGGUUUUUUUUUUGUUUUCGUUCAUACCUGGCAGUAACCAAUUCAGACCGGAGGAAAGAGGCGAGCCCCCCAAGUACCCCCAAAACUACACCGCCUCUCCGUCUCUCCCACCCCCGUCGGCUGUCGCCAUUUUAAGCAGGCGACAUGCAGCUGGCCGCCGCUGCUGAGCCAAAGACCACAGAGGUGAAGCUUUGCCCUCAGCUCCACUAAGUUUUAGUUAAGGUGAAACCCUGCGAAAGAUGAACGUACUCACCUCCCUUUGCUGGAACUCAGUGAAGGGUUGAAAAUAUAAAUAAAAAAGUUUACAUUGAACGGGCACACAGAGGAGCCACUAAUGGACUUAACGGAUGAACUUCUAGGUGGAAGGAGACCCCUCCGUCCAUCGGCUCACAGGCAAACGUGACAGCCGGUGUCAGGCAGGUCCCGGGCGGCGACACUCUUUCACAGGGUCCUUUCUGUUCGUCUGGCUCGGCUCGGCUCUGCUCUCGGUGUAGAAGCGGAGGGGAGGAAAAAUACGACGGACGUACCGAGGGAAGAGACGCACACGUGAUGCAGACGUCACUGACGGUUGAGUUGGCGUGAGGGCUCAGGCUCCGAGAUGCUGAGGGAGAGAAAAUUGGCGACCUGUCCAGGGUGUACCCCGCCUCUCGCCUCUAGACAGCUGGAAAUAGGCAGCAGCACCCCUCGCGACCCCAGCUGACAUAAAGCAUGAUGGAAAAUGGAUGGAUGGUUGGCUGAUUUAAGGGGCUACCACUAAAGCCACUGGGGUGUCAGUGGUUUACGAGGUAUGGGUAACCUGUAACAGGUAUGUUAAUGGUUCAAGCCCCCCCUCUGUCCCUUUCUCAGCCCUGGUAUCCAAGGAGGUCGAAGUGGACGAGUCACUAAUUGUAUGGCAGCUCUGUUUCUAUCAGUCUGCCCCAGGGCAGCUGUGGCUACCAUGUAGCUGAAUAGGAGUAUUUCUUAA